UACGUAGGGUGCAAGCGUUAAUCGGAAUUACUGGGCGUAAAGCGUGCGCAGGCGGUUUUGUAAGCCUGACGUGAAAUCCCCGGGCUCAACCUGGGAAUUGCGUUGGAGACUGCAAGGCUGGAGUCUGGCAGAGGGGGGUAGAAUUCCACGUGUAGCAGUGAAAUGCGUAGAGAUGUGGAGGAACACCGAUGGCGAAGGCAGCCCCCUGGGUCAAGACUGACGCUCAUGCACGAAAGCGUGGGGAGCAAACAGG
rnacentral:rRNA from 1 species